rnacentral:sRNA from 1 species
AGUAAAUCAUGCAUUUGAAGUAGUAGGGAAACCAAUACCAUUAUCAAUUGUAGCAUGCACAUGAGAGCAGCUGGACAAAUCAAAGCAUGAUCGAGUUAAAAAUGAAUGGGAAACAGGCAACAUUACUACAGUAGUUUAUUACUCCAUGCCUCAUGCAGAGAGCAGUGCUGCGAAUUGAUCUGCCAGGCUCUUCACAGUCGUCGGAGAAACUGCAGAUUCUCCACCCAGGAUAGAACAUUGUUCUAUAAACUCUACAGAGAUAAUACUACUAUUUGUGAUCUGUAACUGGAAAUGGGAGAAUGGUAUUGAUAUACUAUAGACAAGCAAUUCCAAAUCCGUUUUACAUAUUUCUGAAAUGCAAAACCUGAAUGGUGGAGUCAUUUUAGUUACCAGAAACUAGGGCCUGAAAGAAGCCAUCAUCCUGCACAAGCUCCUCUGCCUUCUUGCCCUUCCAACUCUCCAAAUGCCCUAGUACAUUGUCCUUUUCAAGAUACACCCCGAUGGCGUUGUAUUUGAUCUGAAGGAAAUGAAUCUCAAUGUCUGUAAUGCCUGCAAUUUGUUGUUUCAAAUGCAUUUAGAGGCUUGUGUUGUACUCAUAAUCUGGUAUUAGUCAAAUGGAGUACUUAUAAAUCAUUAAUAGAUU